UGCUGCGGUCAUGUUCCUCUUUUCUGUGUUUUUUGUUCUAUCUUGUCAUUCUUUAUUCAUUCUGUACCAAGGCAGAAUAUAUAACCCAACCAAUGUCAGUGAAUACAAGUCUUAACUCAACUGUGACCUUUACUUGUGAAGCAACUGGAGUUUCAUUGAUAUCCUUUUAUGUUGGGCAAAUGCCAGCAGCUGAAGAUGUCAAUAUAGAUCAUGGAUUUGAUGAAAGAGGUCAAGUAACUAUUAAUGGAACUAUAAGAAGAAGACAACUAUCAGUUCAUGCAAGAGAAAUUAAUAAUAAUAGCAUCAUAUACUGCUUUGCUUCUCCUGGUGACAUUAGAAGUGACAAUGCUACACUAACAAUACAAGGUCUAUUGGAUAGU